GAGACUGAAGCUACCAAAUGGAGUAACAACAAGUGACCAAACACGAUAUUUGGCUAGUGCGAUAAGGAAAUAUGGUAAGGAUGGAUGUGCAGAUGUUACAACCAGGCAAAACUGGCAAAUACGUGGAGUGGAGCUGCCUGAUGUGCCUGAAAUACUCCAGGGUCUUGCUGAAGUUGGCUUCACAAGCCUGCAGAGUGGCAUGGACAAUGUGAGAAACCCAGUUGGAAAUCCUCUUGCAGGAAUUGACCCGGAUGAGAUUGUUGACACACGACCUUACACAAAUUUGUUAUCCCAAUUUAUCACUGGC
rnacentral:misc_RNA from 1 species